GGCGCGUUCGUCUAGUUGGCCCAGGACACCGCCCUCUCAAGGCGGAGAUCGCGGGUUCGAAUCCCGCACGCGCUACCA
rnacentral:tRNA from 4 species